rnacentral:rRNA from 1 species
UUGCCAUGNGCGAAACCUGAUGCAGCUUCCCCGCGUGAGGGAUGACGGCCUUCGGGUUGUAAACCUCUUUCAGUAGGGAAGAAGCGAAAGUGACGGUACCUGCAGAAGAAGCGCCGGCUAACUACGUGCCAGCAGCCGCGGUAAUACGUAGGGCGCAAGCGUUAUCCGGAUUUAUUGGGCGUAAAGAGCUCGUAGGCGGUUUGUCGCGUCUGCCGUGAAAGUCCGAGGCUCAACCUCGGAUCUGCGGUGGGUACGGGCAGACUAGAGUGAUGUAGGGGAGACUGGAAUUCCUGGUGUAGCGGUGAAAUGCGCAGAUAUCAGGAGGAACACCGAUGGCGAAGGCAGGUCUCUGGGCAUCUACUGACGCUGAGGAGCGAAAGCAUGGGGAGCGAACAGGAUUAGAUACCCUGGUAGUCCAUGCCGUAAACGUUGGGCACUAGGUGUGGGGAACAUUCCACGUUUUCCGCGCCGUAGCUAACGCAUUAAGUGCCCCGCCUGGGGAGUACGGCCGCAAGGCUAAAACUCAAAGGAAUUGACGGGGGCCCGCACAAGCGGCGGAGCAUGCGGAUUAAUUCGAUGCAACGCGAAGAACCUUACCAAGGCUUGACAUGUUCCAGACCGCCUCAGAGAUGGGGUUUCCCUUCGGGGCUGGUUCACAGGUGGUGCAUGGUUGUCGUCAGCUCGUGUCGUGAGAUGUUGGGUUAAGUCCCGCAACGAGCGCAACCCUCGUUCCAUGUUGCCAGG